UACCAGCACCCCGAGUGGUCGGGACGAUUAUUGGGCCUAAAGCAUCCGUAGCCGGUCAUGCAAGUCCUCCGUUAAAUCCACCUGCUUAACAGAUGGGCUGCGGAGGAUACUACAAGGCUAGGAGGCGGAAGAGGCAAGCGGUACUCAGUGGGUAGGGGUAAAAUCCUCUGAUCCAUUGAAGACCACCAGUGGCGAAGGCGGCUUGCCAAUACGCGCUCGACGGUGAGGGAUGAAAGCUGGGGGAGGCAAAC
rnacentral:rRNA from 1 species